GUGCCGGCCCUCCGGGGUGUCACCCGGUGUCACCCGGUGUCACCCCACCCCGCCCGUGCGCAAAGGGCGCUGGGAGGGUUCUGGCCUCUCUGCCAUGGCCCGUGUCACCUCAUGUCGUCACCUGGCCCGGGGACAGGAGCAGCCGCAGGGCUCUGCCCCUCUUCGGCACCGCCGCCACCGCGUGUCGCUCGGUUGUGUCACUCCAUCUCACUCGGUCUUGUCACCCUAUGUCACCCCGUGUCACCCCAUCAUGUCAUUCCAUGUCACCCCAUCGUGUCACCCCAUCGUGUUGCCCCAUUGUGUCACUCCAUCAUGUCAGCCCCUGUCACCCCAUGUUGCCCCAUGUCACCCUAUUGUGUCACCACCCCGUGUCACCCCAUGGUGUCACCCUAUGGUGUCACCCUGUGUCACCCCAUGGUGUCACCCCAUGGUGUCACCCUCUGUCACCCUGUGUCACCCCAUGGUGUCGCCCCAUGGUGUGACCCUCUGUCACCCCGUGUCACCCCAUGGUGUCGCCCCAUGUCACCCCAUGGUGUCACCCUCUGUCACCCUGUGUCACCCCAUGGUGUCACCCCAUGUUGCCCCAUGGUGUCACCCUCUGUCACCCUGUGUCACCCCAUGGUGUUGCCCCAUGGUGUCGCCCUCUGUCACCCUGUGUCACCCCAUGGUGUUGCCCCAUGUCACCCCAUGGUGUCACCCUAUUGUGUCACCCUGUGUCGCCCCAUGGUGUCACCCCAUGGUGUCACCCUCUGUCACCCUGUGUCACCCCAUGGUGUCGCCCCAUGGUGUCGCCCUCUGUCACCCUGUGUCACCCCAUGGUGUCGCCCCAUGUCACCCCAUGGUGUCACCCUAUGGUGUCACCCUGUGUCGCCCCAUGUCACCCCAUCGUGUCGCCCGUUGCUCCGGGCUCAGCGGGGACUCUGACGUCACCACCGCCCCUCAAGCCACAUCCAAUCGCCCCAAGCCACGGUGGCCACAUGCGGGAUGACGUCACGGGCUCCUGUGACCUCAUACCGCCCGGCUGCGCGUCUGUGACGUCACGGGGCUGCCCCCACCCCCGCUGCCGAACCCCACCGGGACACCGGGCCGUGACGUCACGCGCCGCGGCCGGUGACGUCACGAGACGGGGCGGGCACCCCCUCACCCCACCCCUGGCCCUGAUCAGGCGAAUGCGGCGGCCACCUAUAGCCUGCGCCCCCCGCCACUUCAUUAGCGUGGCCCCGCCCCGCGGCGCGCCGCUUGGCCAAUAGCAAACGGCUCUGCCCCGGGAGGGGGCGGGGUUAUGCUAAUG
rnacentral:lncRNA from 1 species